rnacentral:lncRNA from 1 species
UUUUACUUCACCAAUAUUUUGCUUGUACUCGAGUAUUCUCUCGUCAAUUUUUGAAGCUCUGAAUAAAAUAAUAUAAUUUCAUCCUUGUAAUUUCUCAAAAUUAUAUCAAGAUUCACAGUUCUCAUCCAGACGCUUCCGACAAUGCUCGAGAUUUGUUGAGAUUCUCAACCAUGUCAAGAUUUAUUUUAUAUACCUAUCUAUAUUUUAUUAUCUUAACGAAAACAUAUACGCAUAUUUGGUAAAUAUUACUAGACACUAUACACCAAAUAAAUUUUGAAUCUAUUGUUCAUAUUGUCAAUUCUAGCAUAGUCAAAAUGUCAUAUAAAUAUUCUCUCAUUUGAACUUGUUUCUUGAAGAAGCUUGAGAUUCUGCUAUUCACUACCUUUCCAGUUCAAUGCAUCCCAUAGCUGGUCAAGUAAACUGCUUAUAUAAUGAAAUUGAAGGUUGUGAUGAACGCCUCCCUCUCCACAACAAACCACCACCAUUUCUCUCUCUUGUAUAUAGGUGGACUUGUAGACAAUUUGCAAACUCAAACAAGGACCAGUUGAAACCUGAUAUAAUUUAAAAAGAACGUGUGGUAGAAAAGUAGGUGCUGAUGUUUUGAAGCAUAUAAAGGAACCGUAGAUGGCAUUGUAUCCUCCGAAAAGCCUAAUCGGACAAUGUCACCUCAAGCCAUCAAUCACCACAUCUGCUACCAUACAUGGUUUCAAAGGAUUCACCAAUCUACAUCUCGAGGAAAUCCUUCAAAGAGAACAGUGGAUUUCCAUCCUACGAUAUGACAUAAGGUAAAAAGUAAUUUAGCAUCAUGGAGAAAAGUAACGGCUAGAGAAAAAAAAAUUAUUUCCCAACUAUUUGCCAUCAAAGGUCGGUCACACGUUCAUGCUAAUAUGACUUCACUUUUCUCUUGUUAAAACCCUCAUGUAAAAUAACAGCCAUAAGAGAUCAUUUAAAAGUGCAAAUUGGUUAAUUAUAUGAUAACACUUCAUCAGAUUAAUAUGUGAUUUUCACUCUGGCACGUACAGAAAGAAGAUAUAACAGAAAAUAGCAGUGAGAAUACCAUAACGUCAAAGAUUCAAGCAAGACAUGGGACUAGAGAAGAAUUUUCAUUUUUCCACUUCUUGAAAUUGUGGUAGAAGGCAGUAUUCCUUAAUACUAGACACCACUAAAUACUAGUACAGGGAAUAAGAGUGUAACAUUAUUCCUUAAUAUUGUCCAGUGCUAUUCAAUUCACCUUAUGAAACAUGCCAUAAGGAAAUGG